rnacentral:rRNA from 1 species
AAGGCUGAGCUGUGACGGCGAGGGAAAUUUAGUACCGAAGUCCCUGAUCCUACACUGCCAAGAAAAGCCUCUAGUGAGGAAAGAGGUGCCCGUACCGCAAACCGACACAGGUAGGCGAGGAGAGAAUCCUAAGAUGAUCGGGAGAACUCUCGUUAAGGAACUCGGCAAAAUGACCCCGUAACUUCGGGAGAAGGGGUGCUCUGGUAGGGUUUACGCCCGAGAGAGCCGCAGUGAAUAGAUCCAAGCGACUGUUUAGCAAAAACACAGGUCUCUGCGAAGCCGCAAGGCGAAGUAUAGGGGCUGACACCUGCCCGGUGCUGGAAGGUUAAGAGGAGGGGUUAUCCCUUACGGGAGAAGCUCUGAAUUGAAGCCCCAGUAAACGGCGGCCGUAACUAUAACGGUCCUAAGGUAGCGAAAUUCCUUGUCGGGUAAGUUCCGACCCGCACGAAAGGUGUAACGAUUUGGAUACUGUCUCAACGAGAGACCCGGUGAAAUUAUAGUACCUGUGAAGAUGCAGGUUACCCGCGACAGGACGGAAAGACCCCAUGGAGCUUUACUGCAGCUUGAUAUUGGAUUUUGGUACAGUUUGUACAGGAUAGGUAGGAGCCUGAGAAGUCGGAGCGCCAGCUUCGAUGGAGGCGUCGGUGGGAUACUACCCUGACUGUAUUGAAAUUCUAACCUGGAACCGUGAUCCGGUUCGGAGACAGUGUCAGGUGGGCAGUUUGACUGGGGCGGUCGCCUCCUAAAAUGUAACGGAGGCGCCCAAAGGUUCCCUCAGAAUGGUUGGAAAUCAUUCGCAGAGUGUAAAGGCACAAGGGAGCUUGACUGCGAGACCUACAAGUCGAGCAGGGACGAAAGUCGGGCUUAGUGAUCCGGUGGUUCCGCAUGGAAGGGCCAUCGCUCAACGGAUAAAAGCUACCCUGGGGAUAACAGGCUUAUCUCCCCCAAGAGUCCACAUCGACGGGGAGGU